rnacentral:rRNA from 1 species
GGUAACCUCGCCCAUAAGACUGGGAUAACUCCGGGAAACCGGGGCUAAUACCGGAUAACAUUUUGAACCGCAUGGUUCAAAUGAAAGGCGGCUUCGGCUGUCACUUAUGGAUGGACCCGCGUCGCAUUAGCUAGUUGGUGAGGUAACGGCUCACCAAGGCAACGAUGCGUAGCCGACCUGAGAGGGUGAUCGGCCACACUGGGACUGAGACACGGCCCAGACUCCUACGGGAGGCAGCAGUAGGGAAUCUUCCGCAAUGGACGAAAGUCUGACGGAGCAACGCCGCGUGAGUGAUGAAGGCUUUCGGGUCGUAAAACUCUGUUGUUAGGGAAGAACAAGUGCUAGUUGAAUAAGCUGGCACCUUGACGGUACCUAACCAGAAAGCCACGGCUAACUACGUGCCAGCAGCCGCGGUAAUACGUAGGUGGCAAGCGUUAUCCGGAAUUAUUGGGCGUAAAGCGCGCGCAGGUGGUUUCUUAAGUCUGAUGUGAAAGCCCACGGCUCAACCGUGGAGGGUCAUUGGAAACU